rnacentral:rRNA from 1 species
CCCUUAGAUGUUCUGGGCCGCACGCGCGCUACACUGACGAAGUCAGCGAGCAUGUCCUACGCCGACAGGUGCGGGGAAUCUUGUCAAACUUCGUCGUGAUGGGGAUUGAUUUUUGAAAUUCUUGAUCAUAAACGAGGAAUUCCUAGUAAGCGCAAGUCAGCAGCUUGCGUUGAUUACGUCCCUGCCCUUUGUACACACCGCCCGUCGCUACUACCGAUUGAAUGGUUUAGUGAGAUCUUCGGAUUGGCGCCACUGCAGCUCAGCAAUGGGCUUGGUGGAUGCCGAAAAGUUGAUCAAACUUGAUCAUUUAGAGGAAGUAAAAGUCGUAACA